UACGUAGGGGGCAAGCGUUGUCCGGAUUUAUUGGGCGUAAAGAGCGUGCAGGCGGCCAUACAGGUCAGCUGUGAAAACUCGAGGCUCAACCUCGAGACGUCGGUUGAAACCGUAUGGCUAGAGUCCGGAAGAGGAGAAUGGAAUUCCCGGUGUAGCGGUGAAAUGCGCAGAUAUCGGGAGGAACACCGGUGGCGAAGGCGGUUCUCUGGGCCUUACCUGACGCUGAGGAGCGAAAGCGUGGGGAGCGAACAGG
rnacentral:rRNA from 1 species